CAGGAUGAACGCUGGCGGCGUGCCUAACACAUGCAAGUUGAGCGAUUUACUUCGGUAAAGAGCGGCGGACGGGUGAGUAACGCGUGGGUAACCUACCCUGUACACACGGAUAACAUACCGAAAGGUAUGCUAAUACGGGAUAAUAUAUUUGAGAGGCAUCUCUUAAAUAUCAAAGGUGAGCCAGUACAGGAUGGACCCGCGUCUGAUUAGCUAGUUGGUAAGGUAACGGCUUACCAAGGCGACGAUCAGUAGCCGACCUGAGAGGGUGAUCGGCCACAUUGGAACUGAGACACGGUCCAAACUCCUACGGGAGGCAGCAGUGGGGAAUAUUGCACAAUGGGCGAAAGCCUGAUGCAGCAACGCCGCGUGAGUGAUGAAGGCCUUCGGGUCGUAAAACUCUGUCCUCAAGGAAGAUAAUGACGGUACUUGAGGAGGAAGCCCCGGCUAACUACGUGCCAGCAGCCGCGGUAAUACGUAGGGGGCUAGCGUUAUCCGGAUUUACUGGGCGUAAAGGGUGCGUAGGCGGUCUUUCAAGUCAGGAGUGAAAGGCUACGGCUCAACCGUAGUAAGCUCUUGAAACUGGGAGACUUGAGUGCAGGAGAGGAGAGUGGAAUUCCUAGUGUAGCGGUGAAAUGCGUAGAUAUUAGGAGGAACACCAGUUGCGAAGGCGGCUCUCUGGACUGUAACGGACGCUGAGGCACGAAAGCGUGGGGAGCAAACAGGAUUAGAUACCCUGGUAGUCCACGCUGUAAACGAUGAGUACUAGGUGUCGGGGGUUACCCCC
rnacentral:rRNA from 1 species